GAUGAACGCUGGCGGCAGGCUUAAUACAUGCAAGUUGAACGGUAACAUUUUGUAGCAAUACAGAGAUGACGAGUAGCGUACGGGUGCGUAACACGUGUGCAACCUACCUUAUACAGGAACAAAACGUUGAGAAAUUAGCGCUAAUAUUCCAUAAUAUUAUUGAUAGGCAUCUAUUUAUAAUUAAAGCUCAGGUGGUAUAAGAUGGGCACGCGUUCCAUUAGCUAGUUGGUAAGGUAACGGCUUACCAAGGCAACGAUGGAUAGGGGUUCUGAGAGGAUACACCCCCACACUGGAACUGAGACACGGUCCAGACUCCUACGGGAGGCAGCAGUAAGGAAUAUUGGGCAAUGGAGGCAACUCUGACCCAGCCAUGCCGCGUGCAGGAAGACAGUCUUAUGGAUUGUAAACUGCUUUUAAUAGGGAAUAAUUUCGAUUAUGUAUAGUUGAUUGCAGGUACCUAUAGAAUCAGCAUCGGCUAACUCCGUGCC
rnacentral:rRNA from 1 species